GCAAGCCGAGCGGUACAGAAAGUAGCUUACUACUUUGCUGACGAGCGGCGGACGGGUGAGUAAUGCUUGGGAACAUGCCUUGAGGUGGGGGACAACAGUUGGAAACGACUGCUAAUACCGCAUAAUGUCUACGGACCAAAGGGGGCUUCGGCUCUCGCCUUUAGAUUGGCCCAAGUGGGAUUAGCUAGUUGGUGAGGUAAUGGCUCACCAAGGCGACGAUCCCUAGCUGGUUUGAGAGGAUGAUCAGCCACACUGGGACUGAGACACGGCCCAGACUCCUACGGGAGGCAGCAGUGGGGAAUAUUGCACAAUGGGCGCAAGCCUGAUGCAGUCAUGCCGCGUGUGUGAAGAAGGCCUUCGGGUUGUAAAGCACUUUCAGUCAGGAGGAAAGGUUAGUAGUUAAUACCUGCUAGCUGCGACGUUACUGACAGAAGAAGCACCGGCUAACUCCGUGCCAGCAGCCGCGGUAAUACGGAGGGUGCGAGCGUUAAUCGGAAUUACUGGGCGUAAAGCGUACGCAGGCGGUUUGUUAAGCGAGAUGUGAAAGCCCCGGGCUCAACCUGGGAACUGCAUUUCGAACUGGCAAACUAGAGUGUGAUAGAGGGUGGUAGAAUUUCAGGUGUAGCGGUGAAAUGCGUAGAGAUCUGAAGGAAUACCGAUGGCGAAGGCAGCCACCUGGGUCAACACUGACGCUCAUGUACGAAAGCGUGGGGAGCAAACAGGAUUGGAUACCCUGGUAGUCCACGCCGUAAA
rnacentral:rRNA from 1 species